rnacentral:rRNA from 1 species
AGUUUUUGACAGUUUUCAAGAAAAAGCUUAUAAACAAUUUUUAGAACCGUACUGUAAACCGACACAGGUGAACAAAUUGAGAAAAUUAAGGCGCUUGGGCGAAUUAUGUUGAAGGAACUCGGCAAAAUGACUCCGUAACUUCGGGAGAAGGA